rnacentral:lncRNA from 1 species
CCAACAAGGCAGGGACUGCUCGUAAAACUGAUGAUUCUGUGGCUCACUAACUGGCAACUGUCUUCAGAGGUUUGUCUCUGAACCCUAACUGAUCAGGGCAAUGACUGUUCCAACAGAGGAAAAUAUGUCCAGGAAAAAAAAAAUGUAAGAGAAAAAGCAUUUAUAAGCCCCUGGAAAAGCCAUCACCCCAAUGUGCUUUGGCUUGCGGUACUUUUAUUACUCUCCCACCCCGUUACACAAAUUAUUCUACAAUAUGACAAGUGGAAUUUAUAUGAGUAGACUCCUAAGAAUUUUCUUGAAAUGCAAAAAAACAUU